AAACACACACACAAAUGUUUAGGGGGUCAAACUGUACGUUGUAUGUGCAAAUGAUGAAAUUCAUAAGCGUAUAGCUUUUCCCCUUAAACGUUGAUGUGACGACA
rnacentral:pre_miRNA from 11 species